GAUGAACGCUAGCGGCAGGCCUAACACAUGCAAGUCGAGGGGCAGCACAUAAAGUGGUUUACUACUUUUGGUGGCGACCGGCGGACGUGUGCGUAACGCGUAUGCAACCUGCCUCCAACAGGGGGAUAACGGAGAGAAAUUUCCACUAAUACCCCAUAAUAUCAGAAUCGGCAUCGGUUUUGGUUGAAAACUCCGGUGGUUGGAGAUGGGCAUGCGUUGUAUUAGAUAGUUGGUGAGGUAACGGCUCACCAAGUCAACGAUACGUAGGGGGACUGAGAGGUUAGCCCCCCACACUGGUACUGAGACACGGACCAGACUCCUACGGGAGGCAGCAGUGAGGAAUAUUGGUCAAUGGGGGCAACCCUGAACCAGCCAUGCCGCGUGCAGGAAGACGGCUCUAUGAGUUGUAAACUGCUUUUACAAGGGGAUAAAUCGGUGUACGUGUACACCGUCGAAGGUACCUUGGGAAUAAGGAUCGGCUAACUCCGUGCCAGCCGCCGCGGUAA
rnacentral:rRNA from 1 species